UAUUUUAUUCUUUUGAUUAUUUCUACGUCUGGGGUUUCUUUUUUCAAUGUUGAUCGCUCUUCAAGUUCAACGUCGUUACACCUGGACAAGAGUAAAGUUGAUAUAUCUGCAUAGGAAUUUGACUCCAUUCGAAUUUCUUUCUCGCAAAAUCACGACAGUUCUGUUAAACCAGAAAAUCUCUUAUUGGACUAUUCUUAACGCUAUUCCUAUCACUAACGUUUUUUUUUUAAUUUUUUACAGCAAUGCAACUCUCCGGUGCUCUAUCGGACCAAAAGCAGCGACGACGAAACUUGAAGAGGCCACCUCAAAAUGGCUCUGUCUGCAAAUGGAUUCCACUCUGGAGUGAAAACAUUGGUUCGAGUAAUUUGCCACUGAUGACUAACAACGCGGCGAAUUUUCCGAAGAUUUAAAGUUCUUAUCGUCAUAAGCCAGAUAAUUCAGAUCGAAUCCUUCUAACAGAUGAUUUUCUUCAAGAAGCAUCUAAAUUCAAUGAGAUCUAACAUUAUGGAAAAACUGCAUUUCCGCUUGACAAAAUGAGAGGCUUUAAUCGUUCGUUCCUGUUCAAUGGAACUAAUUGCCGAUGUAACCACAAUGUUAAGAGUUUCAACCGCCUCGAAAAUCAACUCUUUCUAACAGAGGUAGCCGUUUCAUCUUCAUACAAAUGCAAGCUCAGAAAUGCGCAAAUUGGCAAUACUUGGUGUUUUAAGAGGAAUACAACGAGCGCAUAAGGACCAAAAAAGUCGUGGUGUAACUAAAAACCACAUUACCGGAAGUCAAACAUUGAUUAAACUCUAUCUAAGAUUCUUCAAACUCGAAAGACAAAUGAGUGAUGUAACACUUCGUUAAUCUUUGUUAGAAUUAGUCGAAAACGGAACAACCGACUCAGCUGGAAUGGAAUAUCGAUGGAUGAAAAAUUGAAGCUAAAUUUUUUGAUCACUACUCUUAGCCGGAUGUCCAGAUUCUAUUUCGACCGACAUGAAUCAACUAGACAAGUUUGGCACGUUCCUGGAUAAUCUCCUCCAGGCAAUCAAUAUCGGUUAUUUGCAUUCAUUUUGAAAAUAACAAUUCGUUGUUCAAGCCAGGAUACUGAAAAUCUGAAGCCAUGAUAAGUAUAGUGGCAGUUGAACGUCAAAUGUCGAUCUGCAAAUUUGAUGGUUAAAUAAUAUUAGUUCAGCGUCCUCGAGGUUUUUACAUCUGAGGGAAAAACAAGGUUUCGUCGUGUUCUCUAAACGAGGCAACAGUGUACGAUUUCAAUGAAUCGGUUUUGAUUUUCGAAAAAGUCAAACAAAGCAACAGCUGGACAGAUUUACAUAGAGUAUUCUUCGGAAGGCAAUCUCGGCCGAGCAAAAGAUUUUCUUUUGGUGAAAUAUUCUUAGAAGACUUCGAGAGCUCAACCAUGUUGAAGGUGAGUUUUAAAUUCAUACUUCUACUAACAUCUGGUUGAUUGACACGUUUUCCAAGCUUGCAAUUUUACUACUUAAAUGUUGACAGUUUUCAAUUUUAAAAUUUAAUAUGUCAAGUACGGAAAAUUACAUUUCUAUGAUGAUACUACUUACAAAAUCCUUACCUACAUUGCUUGAUCAAUAUGAAAUAAACAAAAAACUGAUCACUGACCAAUACAAUUGAUAACUUCAGUCUUAAAAUUCAAGGCAUUUUAUAGUUGUGUGUUGUUUUCUCAUUACAGAUUUUUCUUUGGCAUUUAACCCUUUCCUUCCCACGAGGUUUUUCACGUUUUAAAAAUAGAAAUAUUGCUUUACAGCUGAAGUUAUAGAACAAAAGAUGCUUAAUUUAAACCUACUUUAAUGAUCCAUUUGAUAAAUUUGGGUUUUGAGGUGGAUCAUAUGUGCUCCAUUGGGAAGAUAACAACACAUAGGGUGCAAAUGAAAAACAGGAAAUAAUUGCAAAAAAACAUGGAAUUUCAUCACUUCAUUGAUCACAAACUAAAACGAUCCUAUUUGAUAGAAAACUUCUUUGGUAUACGCAUCCCUCGAAAGUCUAUUUAUUGAAAUAUUUGACAUUUUCAUUUUUGCCUUGAACAAUGGCCGCCAUGACAGUUUGCGCAAGGAAAACAAAACAUGCCGUUUUUCGAGAAUAUCACGAACUUUUACAAAUAUUUCGAGACAUGUGGUCAUUUAAGCAGAUGAAAUAACUACCCUGAAGCGAUUUUUUUGUUGACAAAAUGCUUUUCAUGAGUUUUGAUAAGAAGCUUCACAAGAAGAAAAGUACGUUUUGUUCCCAGUGUAUCACCAGUGAUCCACUUUACUUACUCAAAAAUUUAUAUGUUUUAGUUGAAAUCUAAGUAAACCAUCAUUUGAUUCUGCUUGCAUAAGCAACCUUCUUCACGUCAGUAUUUUUAUUUGAAGGAAAUUAUGAAAACUUAUCAAGUUAUUGAACAACAAAUGACGACUUGAUUUAAUUUCGAAAAAAAUCCGACUUUUAUGCAGUUUUUGAUCAGUCCAGCAAAACCUAGCGAACCGAUUUUCUUCGAAUUUUGUGCAAUGUUUCUUCACUCAUAUCUACACAUUCGGUGAAAAAAUGGUGUUGAUCCAACGCGUCUAGUUCAAAUGCGAGCUGUGCAAAGUUGUGGAUCAUCUGUGCUACCAUGGGAAGGAAAGGGUUAAGUUAAGAUAACAUGGUGUAUAGUGUAUACGUCAACCUAUUUAUAUAGAAAAUAUACUGUGGUAAGAAUAUUAAAA